CCCUUAGAUGUUCGGGGCCGCACGCGCGCUACACUGAAGGAAUCAGCAUGUCUUUCUCCUUGUCCGAAAGGACUGGGUAACCCGCUGAACCUCCUUCGUGCUAGGGAUUGGGGCUUGUAAUUCUUCCCCAUGAACGAGGAAUUCCCAGUAAGCGCGAGUCAUAAGCUCGCGUUGAUUACGUCCCUGCCCUUUGUACACACCGCCCGUCGCUACUACCGAUUGGAUGGUUUAGUGAGAUCCUCGGAUUGGUCCCGGCGCGGCCUCUGGUCGUGCCGGAGUGCCGAAAAGAAUGUCGAACUUGAUCAUCUAGAGGAAGUAAAAGUCGUAACA
rnacentral:rRNA from 1 species